rnacentral:rRNA from 1 species
UGGGGAAUAUUGCACAAUGGGCGAAAGCCUGAUGCAGCGACGCCGCGUGAGGGAUGACGGCCUUCGGGUUGUAAACCUCUUUCAGCAGGGAAGAAGCGAAAGUGACGGUACCUGCAGAAGAAGCGCCGGCUAACUACGUGCCAGCAGCCGCGGUAAUACGUAGGGCGCAAGCGUUGUCCGGAAUUAUUGGGCGUAAAGAGCUCGUAGGCGGUUAGUCGCGUCUGCUGUGAAAACUCGAGGCUCAACCUCGGGCUUGCAGUGGGUACGGGCUGACUAGAGUGCAGUAGGGGUGACUGGAAUUCCUGGUGUAGCGGUGGAAUGCGCAGAUAUCAGGAGGAACACCGAUGGCGAAGGCAGGUCACUGGGCCGCAACUGACGCUGAGGAGCGAAAGCAUGGGGAGCGAACAGGAUUAGAUACCCUGGUAGUCCAUGCCGUAAACGUUGGGCACUAGGUGUGGGGUCCAUUCCACGGAUUCCGUGCCGCAGCAAACGCAUUAAGUGCCCCGCCUGGGGAGUACGGCCGCAAGGCUAAAACUCAAAUGAAUUGACGGGGUCAUAGCUGUUU